AACCGGCUAACAGGUCCGAAUCAGAUUUCGGGCCCAACCCAAACCAGCCCACAGUUCCAAUUUGGCCCGACUCAGCCCAACACAGAUUCCCCAACCCAACCCAAACCAGAUUUGAUCAGACCAGAUUAGAUCAAAUCCUGAUGAAUCAGUUUAUACUCACACCAGGCUAACCCAAAUUCCUGACUCAGAUUCAGACCCUAAUCAAAACCUAUUCACUCAAACUCGGAUCAAACCCUAUUCACUGCAUAGAUGAAACCGGUUCACAGUUUGAACCCGGUCCAAGUCUGGUUCACAAUUUAGGCACGGAAUUCGAUGCAAGGGGAAACACCCAGGCGGAAGAAGAAGAAGAAGAAGAUGAAGAAGGAGAAGAAGAAGAAGAAGAAGAAGAAGAAGGAAGUGGCUGGUGGUUCCGGUCGGCCCUCGGCGGCCGACUGUGGCCCUCGACGGCGGCGCUCGGCCAGCCGCCGUCGGCCACGCCACUGUCACAAGCGGCGCCGGACGAGAAGAAGAAGAGAAGGAGGAGAGGAAAAGAAAAGGAGGAAAGAGAGGGAGACCGGGGCUGGAAGCCCGGCCCCCGUUCACCCACC
rnacentral:lncRNA from 1 species